UCAGAUUCUUAGAGGGAUUUUUUUUGGAGAGAAAGUUUGAAGGACAAAAACUAGGUUUUGGGCUUUCAUCUUUCUUCUUUUGGACUUUUGAUUUUAGUUCAUUGAGAUACAAAAAAACAAUUAGUUCUUCCUAGUUUAAUUUUUGCGUCAGAUUCGGAAAAUACCAAAAAAAAAAUUAGUUUUCUAUUUUGAUCUUCACCCAUGGACUGAUGCGCUAUUGUUCUGGAAGUUCCAGUUGUCGUUCGAGGUCGAGUUCAUCGUUUUGAGGUGAGGCACGCGAUUCCGAUUGAAAGUUCGUUGUUCCUGCUCGCUUGUACUGUUGCUUCUUAGAUGAAUUUUUGGAGCCAAAUUUUGGAAUUGCUGAUCUCUUCUGUUGUUAUUAAAGAAAUUUUGCUUUAACAAGUUCAUUUCUUUCCCUUUAACUUAAUAUGGAUUAUUGUGAAUCAAAUAUUAGGAGAGCCAUUAAAAGACAAGUUAAACUCAGUAGUGAUUUCUAGGAUUUCGUUUAAUUUUUUGAGCCACGUUUAUGUUGUGUUGAUUGUGUUUCCUUUAAAGUUUUAUUCCAUAGUGAAAUUUCAACAUUUAACACGUAUUCAAAUCUUUAGUUUCGUACCACUUUCACAUUGAAUCUACAGUUGGUUGCUUGAGGUGUUAUGUUAAAAUAAAGUAAAGUGUUAUGUGCUCUUCUUUUUCUUUCCGUGCGUAAUGGCAUGAAUAUUUAACGGUCUUCAUAAUUCUCUUAAAAGGGUAUUCAAUAAAUAAUCAUAUGUUUUAGUGAGUUGGUGUACUUAAGAAUCUAUGAUUUAAAUUGAAAGUAUUUGAAGUAUGUGCUAGUUCUUUAUUUUGAGUUGAAUAUAAUUAUACUUAAUUCAUCUUAUAGCUAAAAUAAUGUUCCAAUUAAGUGGGUAAAAUGCCUUGAAUGUGGGAUUUACUAUACAACUUUUAGAUUUUUGCCUUUUGAUGGUUGUUGAGAGUUGUUGAUAUUGUGUUUAAGUGCUUGGGAUACUUCUUUGGCAUAAGUCAUGGUUAAAAGCUUCUUUUGUAAGUAAAUACUUUGUGAAAUUAAAAUGAGGUGAGAGGGUCUUGUUAAUUACAAUUAAUUUUCCAUGCCAUAGUCACGUUACUUCAGUUGGAUGAAAACAUUUUCAGUUAUAUAGGAUUAACAAGUUUACUAGUUAUGCUAGUUGGUUUAUGAUUUAAACAUCAUUAUUCUUACUAGAACUCUCUGUUCAAUCCCAUUGGAGUCUCCGAUGAUAUCAUUUUGGCUAUGUGAAGUUCGAAUCUACUUGUUAGGCAUGUUUUGUGUUCCUUGCUCAUUCCUUCAAUGUGAGUUUACUGUUCGAGGUAUGAAUCACUCUAGUCUAUUGUUGGGACAAUUUGGUAAACAUUUAAAUAAAAGAGGAGUUUAUUGGAUUAAAAUUUAGGAAUUGACAUGACGAGGAUUUGAUAAGGAAUUGAGGUGAUACGAAAUCUUUUAAUGGUUCUCCCAAUAGUUUUGAUUCAUUUAGUUUACUAUUCUGCUAUUUUAUUUGGAUGUCUAUUUAUUUAGUUUCAUUGAAUGGCCUGAAUGUUUAUUUAAUGGGUUAUUUAGUUCUAUGUUUUUUUGUUCGUCGUUUGUAUUCAUCACUGUGAUAUGUCUCUUUGUGGGCUGAGGGGUUUUGGGAAUUAAUCGUUGAAAAGAAAUGGAGCAUGAAAUGAGUUUUUAUUUAUUUAUUUUAGUUUCGUUUUACUUUUCUUACUUACUCGCUAGGAGUAUGCCUAGGCCGACCACACUUGGGAGGCAAUAUUAGGACGUUGUUUUUAAUAUAACUGAGUAUUGGGGAUCUGGAGGGGGAAAAUAAUGCUGGGGUGGAUUAUAUAGAGCUUGGGUAUAGGCUUUAGGGUUGGGGUCGAGGCUGAGUGUACUGGUGAGGGGGACCCCUUGGACCACUCCAUGGUCAAGAGACAACCACAAAAACAUCAUCAUUUUUCUUCUUGGCUAACAAACUUCCUGUGCCAUUCUGGAUUGCAUGUGUGGUUGCUUUUAUAGCGGAGUAGCUCAUGAUCUUGCUUGACUUGAGUCCCUCUUACACCAUUUCUCCCAUCUUCAUCACAUCAUUAAAAGGCUUACCCGUCGCUGAGAUCAAGUGGCCAAAGUAAGUUGGCUCUUGGGCUUGAACAAAGUACUUCACCAUACCGUCUUCUUCCUUCGGAGGAAUGACUCGGGCAACUUGUUCUCUCCAUAUGAGCCUGUAUUCCCUAAAUCUUUCAUUAGGCUUCUUUUCUAUCUUGGUCAGGGACAAAUGAUCAGGAACAAUUUCUGUAUUGUACUGAAAGUGCCGGAAAAAGGCCUUGGCCAUGUCGUCCCUUGUAUACCACCUGAUCAGAUCUUGUCGGGUGUACCAUUCUAGGACUGCUCCACUCAAACUGAAAUAGGCCAUCAAUAGCUCAUCCUUCCCUCUAGCACCUCUCAUCUUAUUGCAAUAACCUCUCAAAUAGGACAAAUGAUCUCCAUCUCCAUCAUACAGAUCAAACUUUGGCAUCUUAAACCCAACAGGCAGCUGGACAUCAGGGAAUAAGCAUAAGUCCUUGUAAGACACACUUACUUGGCUCCCUAUUCCUUGCAUGUUCCUUAGAGACUGCUAUAGUCUCUUCACCUUCUUGGAUAUCUCGUCAUGCUCCACAUUCUAAGCGGGCUUUUCGGUUUCAACGGGAGGCUCAAAGUGGAGAGUUAUAGCAAUAGAGAUCCGGGACCUUGAAAGUUGGGCAUUAGGAACUUUGAACGCAGGUUCACUAGAAGAUUGAUGGAUGGUAGCUUGUGGAGGAGCUACAAAAACAAGAAUGAUUAAUGGAGCGGGAUAUGAGGUUGUUUUGGCUAGUGGGGCAUGAAGAGGUUGGGACGAGGUGUCAGGGUAGUUGUUGUAAGGGGUAAACCCUGGUACAUGUUGUGGGGAAAGAUGGACAGUAGUAGGAAUCUGGGCUUACGAUAGUGGUGGGAUGGAGGCAGGGCUUUCUCUGUACUUAGUGGGGAAUGAGGGUGGAUGAUGCCCUCUGAUCCAAGCCUGAUACAUCUCUGCCAUAUGUUGUUUUAACCUUUGGACCUUUUAUUUCAACUCACAUUCCGAUUCCACAAUCUCCCUCGAUGGGUCAACAACACAUGUGUCCAAUUCUUUACUAGCCAUGACUGCUUUCCGCUUUGACCUAGUUUUGUAUGGAUGACUCGCCAGAAUGCCACAAACUAACCACCUUCCUGAAUAAUAACAAUGACAAUAAUAGAGAGGAGCAAAGCAAAGCCAACAUUAGCGGUAGGGCAUUUAUCAGAUAAAAAUAUCACAUUACGUGGAAUGCACCUAUCAACAAUUAACGGUUCUAGAAUGAACUUGAGGGUCACAAGGUCAUAUGGCAUCAUCCCAAUUUGCUAGUUCCAACCUUCCUCUUUUAUUUUCUCUUUAACGCUUCUUGAUUUAAUCAUUUCCUUCCCACUCUUUUUCUUUUUGCUUAUCAUUCUUUCCUUUCCUUUCAUUUCUCACAUCCCCCAACUUUAUUUUUUUUAAUUUAAAAAUGGAUUUGAUCGAAUCCGAUAUAGGUUACCUACGUAUCAUGUUCCACAUGAAUCAGACCAAGCGUAGUUUUGAAAAAGUGAUGAGCAAAAUAAACUAAAAACAAAAAUCUUUUUGGAUUUUUUAUUUAUAUAUUUUUUGGUUUUCAAAUAAGAAAUAGGAAGCACGAUAACAAAUGACUCAAAAAACUCAGCUAGACUACGAUAGUCUCUGACACCACCUAAAAGACUCAUUACUACUGGGCAAGACUAGAAGUAAAGGACAACAAAAAAUGGACUCAAAAGAUAAAAAGUCUCCUCAAUCAGCUCCUGAAUGUAACGGUCCUAGCUGAGAUGGGCCUGGGACGUCUGUCAUGCUCAAGCUCCGGUAAAUAAAUCUAUACCUGAAUGAGAAGAAUAAGACCAAAUAGAGUUAGUGACUCAGGACACUAUGUGAAAUAAUAACACUUCCAAUUGGAUACAUAUAAGACAUGAUUGAGGCUAUUUUUGCGAAAUGGCAUGAUCGCGUCCAAAUGCACACCUCUAAAAAGCUAUGAAAGGAUCAUUUGCAAUUAUAUUAACCCAACUAAGAGUCGGGGUCGAAUCCAUAGAGAGCUAAGAUGGGAGUUCGGAGUGUAUAUUUUAAUGCGCGUGAUUGAAUUAUCUUGAUUUGCACUUCCACAAAAAGGUUUGUAUGCUAUUUCUAAUUUAACACUAAAGAUUGCAGAAUAAAGAAAUAAAUCUAGGAUAAUUAUUUUGAGGUUUUUCAAUUUGAUAAAAAACCUAGGUAUGUGACCAUUACUUAGGUGUUUACCUAAUGGGAUAAAAACCUUAAUGCUUGUUUUGUUGAUCGGGGUGUAUUAUAGCUAUCAACUCUCAAUUACCCACUCAAUACCUCUCGGUUAGAGAGUGGUUUUGACAAAUUUGGCUUUCUCAAGACCAAAUGGGUAUCACACAAAACAAUUGAUAAAAGCUCAAGUCGGGUUAUUACUAUCUCUAGGUUGAACCCUUUAAUUGGGUUAAUCAAUCUCUCGAUUUACCCAAUUCCUUGUUAGCCAAGUUUUCCUAGGCUAAGUGUAACGACCCGGCCGAAUGUUUUGAGUAUUACAGCCUCGUUCCCCCAUUUACUGCUUAUCCUGUGUUCAAUUAUAAUUAUGUGACUCGUCGGAGAGGGUUCAGAAUGAAUUGGAACACUUAGUUCCAAGAUUUAAAGAUUAAGUUGAAAUAGUUGACCGAAUGUUGACUAUGCGUAAAUGACCACAGAAUAGAGUUUUGAUGAUUCCAAUAACUCCGUAUGAUGAUUUUAGACUUAGGAGCGCGUCCGAAAAAUUAUUUGGAAGUCCGUAGUUAAAUUAGGCUUGAUUUGGCUAAAAUAGAAAUUUAAGUUUGGAAGUUUGACCGGGAGUUGACUUUUUAAUAUCGGGGUCGGCAUCUUAUUCUGAAAUUUUUUAUAGGUCUGUAAUGUCAUUUAUGACUUGCGUGCAAAAUUUGAGGUCAAUCGGACUUGAUUUGGUAGGUUUCGGCAUCGAAUGUAGAAGUUGAAAUUUCUUAGUUUCAUUAAGCUUGGAUUGGGGUAUUAUUCAUGGUUUUAGCAUUGUUUGAUGUGAUUUAAGGUCUCGACUAAGUUCGUAUAAUAUUUUAGGACUUGUUGGUAUAUUUGGUUGAGGUCCCCGGGGCCUCAGGUGAGUUUCAGAUGAUUAACGGAUCAAAUUCGGACUUAAGGAAAUACUAGAAUUUUUUUGUUGCUGGUGUCUUCGCACCUGCGCAUGAGGGACCGCAGGUGCGCCUUGCAGAAGCGUAAAAACAGGUCGCAGAAGCGACCUGGGGAAGGCUGGCUGGGAGGCAUCGCAGAAGUGGCCACACUCGCGCAGAAAUGCGACCGCAGAUGCGGUUUGAAAGUCAUAGAAGCGACCACUGCUAGCCAAAGCUGACUUGCAGAUGCGACUAUGCGACCGCAAAUGCGGAAGACGCUGGGCAGAAGCUUUAAGUUUGGGGCUUCGCUAUUUUUAGCCAUUUUUCUGAUUUUGGAGCUCAGUUUGUGUGACUUUGGAGAGGAAAUUUUCCACUCAACUUGGGGUAAGCAUUCUUGACUCCCUUGUGAUUAUAUUUCAUGAAUUAAUCUUCAUUUUGGGUGUAUGAUUAUCGAAUCUUCAAGAGAAAUCGAAGAAAAUUUCUAUAAUUUCAUAAAAUGAAUUUUUGAGUUUUGAAUACUGAUUCGGAGUCGGAUUUGAGUGAAAUUAGUAUGGUUGAACUCGUAAUUGAAUAGGUUGUCGAAUUUUGUGAGUUUCUACGGAUUCCGAGACGUGGGCCCCAUUGUCAAUUUUUCGAGCAGAGUUAGGAAUUUUUAUAAAUUGUUAAAUUACAAGUAUUGGAGUAUAUUUUGAUUAAUUUGCACAUUUGUUUUGACUAGUUUUGAAUCAUUUGGCGUGGAAUUGAGGAGAUAUGAAGAUGUUCGGAGGUUGAUACGUGCGGAAUGAAAUUUUCGGAGCAUUGUUUAGCUUGCUCGACAUUGGAUUCAUCUUGUUCGAGGUAAGUAACUCUUCUAAACUUGGAGCUGAGGGUAUGGUGUUGAGGUGACGCACAUGCUAGGUGACGGGCUUAUGGGCAUGCACCGUAUGAACUGUGACUCCGUUAUUUCUAUGGUACCGUAUAGUUACCUGAACUUAUCUAUAAUCAUGAAAUCUCUACGUACUAAAGUUAUCGAGUUGUGAUUCAUGUUAGAAUCCAUGUCUAGACUAUAUGCUUAUCCUGUUGGGAUCCACUGAGGUCAUUAUUGUUGUUGAGUUAUUUUCUUACAUUGCAAUUUCAUACUCAGUCAUGUUCAUUCAUUGCAUAUCAUAUCUCAGUCUCUGUUGUUAUUUAUUGAUACAUCAUAUCAUCAUUUUGGGCUAGUUUCAUGACAUUGUGAGCCCGAGAGAAUAGAAAGAUUGAUAACUAAGUGAGGUUGAUGGCCUGAUUUUAAGAUAUUGAUACUAUAGCACAUGAGUUGUCUGUGCAGAUCCAGAUAUUGAUACUAUAGCACGUGAGUUAUCCGUGCAACACGUGAGUUGUCCGUGUGCAUUAUAGCGCUUGGGCUGAAGGAGCCCCUCCGGAGUCUGUACAUACCCCCAGUGAGCGCAGGUACCUACUGAGUGCGAGUGUUGAGUGCUGAGUGCGAGUGCCGAGCGAUUGGGAGGAUUGAGUGACUGUGAGGACUGAGUGACUGGGAGGACUGAGUGAAAUGAUACUUUGAGAGUAUGCAUAUGGUUUUAUUACUAAGUUGUAUCGCAUUGACAUGCACACUUGACAUACAUGCAUACAAAUGCAUUUUUUCUCAUGUUGUACGAUACUGCAUCAUUCAUGACUUCUCCUACAUAUUGAUAUGUAGUUAUAGAGAUGUACUUUCCUCGUGUUAUUUAAAAAUAAAACAAUUACCUGUUGAAAGUUUUGGGAGAAAUUACAGUUUUCAAACUUACUCAUAAAUUGGUGAUUUCGGUAAAGGAUUUGAGUUUUCACUGAUAUAUUUGAAAAGCGGGACAUUUUUCUAGAAUUGUGAAUGAGCUGAGCAUUUUAUCUCUGAGCUACUUCUUUUAUUACUUCUAUUAUGUUAUGAACUAUUGUUGGCUAUUAGUGUUGGACCCUGACCUUUGUUCCAGUUCGUCACUACUUUCAACCUAAGGUUAGGUUUGUUACUUAUUGAGUACAUGUGGUCGGUUGUACUCAUACUACACUUCUGCACCUUGUGUGUAGAUAUUGGAUGUUGAUGCGGCUGUGAUCGACGUGAGCUGGAUUUGAAGAUGUACCUGCGUUCCAUCCAUUGCUGCCUCUUGUUCAUGGUAGCUUUAGAAUUUUUAAUCUGUUCAUGUAUAUUUCAGACAAAUGACGUAUUUUAUUUUUAUUUCAUAUUAGUUUUGUAAAUUCUAAUCUUAGAAGCUCAUGAUUUAU
rnacentral:lncRNA from 1 species